UUUCGGUUUCUUUCCAAUUUGCGAAGUGCGAAAUUAAAAUAAACUUCAACAAACUAAACAGGCGGAAAAAACUCUGCGAUGUCGUUCGUUUCAGUCCGUGAAUUAAUAAAUCGGUGUUUAAAAGGAAAAUCGUAACUUUUGUUCACCUUAACGUAAGUUCGAAUUUAAAUCGGCGUUUGCGUGUUGGUACAGUAGGGACGCGUUCGCGUUUAAUGCAUUUCGGACGUGUCUUGUUCAAUUCAACCCUUAAAAAUAAUAGUGAUACCCACAAGGGAAUCUUAGCACAUCAUUAGUUUCAGUGCUGAGUACCUAUAACCCUAAACUGUUCCUUAAAGUUUAUCAGAAGAAAAUUGCGGCCAUUUUAUAAGUUUGCUUCUGCGGUACGCGUCGCGUUUAAAACAACGUUUUGUGCUAUUGUUUCGAUCUGAGAUCAAGAGCUCUUAGAUUUCAUGGAUAUCUUGACUUGAGUUGAGACAAUGAAGAUGAGGAGGCUUGGUAGGAGUCGGCAGUGAUUGACUGGCGGUCCCGUUUAGGAAAACCUCAAUGCAUAGGGCUAAAGGAUUACAUAAGGGCGGCUUUAUAAAGGUAGGAUCUUUCUUUUAUGCAUGGGUGUUAUGGCAUGUUCUAUUAUGUAAGAGGGGGGGGAGUGAAUAGUGGAAGUGAAACGAAAAGGAAC